rnacentral:lncRNA from 10 species
CUUUGGUAGCCUCCUUACUUGCUCCACUUGCUUCAGAGAGAGAAGUGCGGGUUUGCGGUUUAGUGAAGGAGCAAGGCUCAUGUGAAUAGAAGAAUCCAAGGUAGAGCAGGAAGAGAAAUCCAGCUAGAGAAAGAGGUGGAAGUCAAAAUAAGUAGACUCUUAUUUUAAAUUUUUAAUGGCUUCUUGGUGGCUUCAAGAUAAAAGAUAGACAAUGAGGAGCUUUGUGUUUGGGAAAAGAAUAAAAGUCAACUGUAGCAAAACCUCUCAGAAGUAGGAUUUAUAAACAGUUCUCAAAGGAUGCACAUGAAAAUGUAAUUUCUUGGGAAAGUGGCAAACAGAAAAGAAUCAAACCGCAGUUGUGUGUGGCAAGGAUAAAUAUGCAACGCACCAUCAAUAGGAUUUGUUGGGUGAAUAAAAAAGCCUUUUAGCCAACAAUAUGUAAGCAGAAGAAUGGAGCAGGAGUUAGAGAGAACCCUCAAGCAAUAAUGGAGGCCACUGGAGAGGCAAGACUGCCAAAGGCUAAGUUAUUGACCCAGUAUUUUUAAAACUGCCUCCGAAAAGAAGCCUGAACGAAAGAAAAUAAUUUGUGCUAUUAGAAUGUAUUUUUCCUUUGUGUUCCUAUCUACUUCCUUCACAAGCUAUUUUUGGAGCAUUUGGCCAGAGUGAUCUUUCUGAAAUGGAAGACUCAUGUAUUGUUCCUGUGAGUCAGAUGGGAAGCUGAUGGAAAGUCUUCAGCAGAGAAAAAUCCAAAGUGACUGCAAUGAUUUACGUGACUCUACAGAUCCUGGCCCCUAUUGAUUUUUCUGAGAACAAAAUAAAUAUCCACAGUGAGUCACAAAUGUAAAUGUAUUGAGUGCCCAAUGUAUGGAGCCCUUUCUCCAAGACCUCACUGCCGUAAAUACAAAUAUAACUGAGAACUGGUGAUUUGAAGAUGAUUCUUGGGAUAGCGGGCUAGGCGGCACUUCACACUGGCUUUUGGGGCCACAUAGGGGUGUAAUCAUGUUAUCACCCUGCACAACCCCAGAGGGUACCAUACACAACCCAUUUGACCAAACAUGGCAGUCCUGAAAGGAAUGAUGAUUGAAAGCCAAGACUGAGCUUUGGCAAGGAAACCACCUCUGAAUUACCAACUCAUUGUCUAUAAUGUAAUGAUAGCAUCUACCUCUUAGUAAUUUUGUGAACAUUAAAUGAAUAAAGCAUGACAAAAG